AUUGAACGCUGGCGGCAGGCUUAACAUAUGCAAGUCGAGCGGAGAGAGGUAGCUUGCUACUGAUCUUAGCGGCGGACGGGUGAGUAAUGCUUAGGAAUCUGCCUAUUAGUGGGGGACAACAUUUCGAAAGGAAUGCUAAUACCGCAUACGUCCUACGGGAGAAAGCAGGGGAUCUUCGGACCUUGCGCUAAUAGAUGAGCCUAAGUCGGAUUAGCUAGUUGGUGGGGUAAAGGCCUACCAAGGCGACGAUCUGUAGCAGGUCUGAGAGGAUGAUCCGCCACACUGGGACCGAGACACGGCCCAGACUCCUACGGGAGGCAGCAGUGGGGAAUAUUGGACAAUGGGCGGAAGCCUGAUCCAGCCAUGCCGCGUGUGUGAAGAAGGCCUUAUGGUUGUAAAGCACUUUAAGCGAGGAGGAGGCUACUUUAGUUAAUACCUAGAGAUAGUGGACGUUACUCGCAGAAUAAGCACCGGCUAACUCUGUGCCAGCCGCCGCGGUAA
rnacentral:rRNA from 1 species